rnacentral:rRNA from 1 species
GGACCCGCACAAGUAGUGGAGCAUGUGGUUUAAUUCGAAGAUACGCGCAGAACCUUACCAACCCUUGACAUCCUGCGAACUUUCUAGAGAUAGAUUGGUGCCUUCGGGAACCGAGUGACAGGUGCUGCAUGGCUGUCGUCAGCUCGUGUCGUGAGAUGUUGGGUUAAGUCCCGUAACGAGCGCAACCCUUAUCCUUAAUUGCCAGCGGUUAGGCCGGGAACUCUAAGGAGACUGCCGAUGACAAAUCGGAGGAAGGUGGGGACGACGUCAAGUCAUCAUGGCCCUUACGUGUAGGGCUACACACGUGCUACAAUGGCCGGUACAAACGGUUGCGAACCCGCGAGGGGAAGCUAAUCCGAGAAAGCCGGUCGUAGUCCGGAUUGGGGUCUGCAACUCGACCCCAUG